rnacentral:lncRNA from 1 species
CCUUCUUCACUUCACCUGCAGCACACGGGUGGGUGCGAGCUGGCUGCGCCUGCGCGGUGGAACCUGGGCGGAUGAGCCUCGCGGGGUCCAAAGAAGCGCAGACCGGGCUUUGAGAGACACCGUUCCCCUGUGUGCGCACGGGGCGGGGAUGCUCCUGACCUCGGGCAGGUAGCUCCUGUCCUCAGCUCCUGCUC